CUGAUGUGGAGAGAGGAUUUGGGUAACUGAUAUAGUGACAGGGAGUAAGGAAACCUAAAGUAUGAUUUCUUCUCUGAAAAAAACAGGGUUGGGGAUCUAAAUAUAGAGCAUUUAAGACAAAUUUAAUUGAAAUAUGUCAGACAAGUCUUAGGCAUGCCAGUUUAGGGGGACUGUGAAAUUAAUAUUGCAGCCAUCCAUCCAUUAGCAAAACCCACUUAUUCUUGGGGGUUGUGGGGUGCUGGAGCUAAUCCCAGGUGACAUUGGGUGAGAGACGGGGAACUCCUGACCUUGUCCCAAUUACUGGGCUCACUGACAUUACAUUUUCAUCGAACAAAAACUUAAUAUCAGGUCCAAUCUGGCUGCAUCCUCCCUGUGAGGAGGAGUCAAUGCAAAACUCAGAUAUCUUCCACCUCUACUUAUCUGACUGCAGAGAGGAGGACAGAGAACAGUGGACACACAGUUUAACAUGAUGGACUAUAGGACAGGACUGCUGCUUUUAACUAUCCGCUGGGCAGGUGUUGAUGGUCAGACUCUGACAGAAUCUGAACCAGUGAUUAAAAGGCCUGGAGAAUCUCACAGACUGACCUGUACAGCCUCUGGAUUUAACUUUGGUGGCCCCUAUAUGCACUGGAUCAGACAGGCUCCUGGAAAAGGACUGGAGUGGGUUGCCAGGAUUGAAAGUGGCAGUGGUAGCAGCAAGCUCUACCCUCAGUCAGUUCAAGGCCAGUUCACCAUCUCCAGAGACAACAGCAGAAAGCAGGUGUAUCUGCAGAUGAACAGUCUGAAGACUGAAGAUUCUGCUGUUUAUUAUUGUGCUCGAGAGCCACAGUGACUGGAGUUGGUUGAGCAGCUGUACAAAAACCUACACCACUUAUUUUAGGCUGGCAGAGCCCAAGCAUGAAAUACUUUUGUAGAAUAUAUCUUAAAUAUUAUACAUUUUUUUUCUUUUUUUUGUACAUGUUGUUUACAUCACAAAUAUAAGAACACAUUACCUUUGUCCCUGCAAUAUAGAAAGUCCCGAAAAGUGUUCCUGAGGAAAAUUUAUUCUAAACAUUACACACACAAAAAAACUCAAAAACCACUCGUUCAUAAAAGGGCCAAAGACAGCACAACAUGAUAACUGAAAUUAAACCACGACAAAAACUUUACAUUUCUACAAAUGAAGACACACUAAUGUUUGUAAGUUAUGUGGAAUCUA